rnacentral:lncRNA from 1 species
GAUAGAUCCAACUUCCACCGGAAGCUGGGAUUCCUUCGAUCCUCCAAUCAAAACCUGAUCCACUGUCCGAUCUCUGUCGCCAACCUCUAAAAGAGAGGCUGCGUUGUUCCCCGUAGAAUUUACCGUUACCACCUUUCCUGCUUGAAUUGCCUCCUCUACCAGUUCCUCCCCGUGAAUGGUCAUCGGAGGUUGGGGCGGAGGAGCCGCCAGAGCCGCCAUGAGUGCGGCCAAUGAAACUUUGGAGAAGCUAAAACCCUAGUCGCUUUUACGAUCGCC